AACAGAAUGUAGAGGAGGGGUCAGCUCAUAAAAGGGAAGAAAUUUUCCUUAUUGGGAAAUUGAAACUUAAGUGGGAAAGGGGACCACAGUAUAACCUUAUAAGGGGGAUAAUGAAACUUAGGUGACAUCCCAGAAGAUUGUAGCCCCAUAGUACUCAACCAGUGAGGAACUGGGGGAGGAACUUGCAUGCUAGGAGAUAAAUUACCACUUGUGACUGUCCCAGGUGUGCCUUCCACCAGAGACCCAGUCUUGCAAGGCAGUUAUUAAAAAGUCUCACUUUCGCUGUUGUCCGUACCUCUAAGUCCAUUCUUUGGGUUUGGACACGUGAGUGUGUUUCUCACAAACCUGGGGGCCUGUCCGGGAUCUCUGUGCCUGUGUGGAGUGGGACUCCAGCUGAGAGGGGAGACGCGUCCCACCCGAUUUAGGUGGCCUACUCUGUCUGGGCAGUACAAGCUCCCCACAAAAGCCAUAGAUCAACUGGAGACUGUUACUCAGGAGACACUGGAGGUGACACAGGGAGAAAAGCAGGCACCGUGGCAACGAAGGCAACCUCUUGCAUCAGCCAAGGUUAAAAGGACUUCUGACUCAAACUCCACUUCUAGAGUUCAGGUUCAGCACUUCCAGCCCGGCGACUUGGUGCUGAUUAAGACUUGGGAAGAAGACAAGCUCCACCCAAACUGGGAAGGUCCCUACCAAGCGCUCCUGACCACUGAGACAGCUGUGUGAACAGUGGAACGGGGGUGAGCUCAGUAUACUUGAGUCAAGGGACUGAUGGAAGAAUUGUCUGAAGAGGAUGAGUGAUCACCUUCCAGGUGGAGGGAAGGGGUCUCAUUAUGUUGCCCAGGCUGGACUCAGUGACUCAAAUGUCUGUGCUCAAGGGAUCCUCCUGCCUCAGCAUCUCAAGAAGCUAUGACUACAGGUGCAUGUCACCCAUCCAGCUCAAUCACACAUCAGACCGCUAAAAAUAAGGAUACUAGUCUCAAAGCUAAAUUUUAUUGUUGUCAAAAUUUUCAACAUCAGUACUAAAAACCUAGAGGAAUAUAGAUGAGCAUUUAAAAAAUUCUGUCCAGCUAAUUCUCUCCAGUGUUCAUUUAAAUAUCAUGCAAAAAAGCUAGUUUUAUAAAAGUAAAAUCUGCAUUCACGGUGGGGGGGAAUGCAAGCUUAAUGGAAAAAAAAACCCAAAAUGAAGGAAAUUAUGUGCUACGAGAUUGAAGAAACAAUGGAUCUCACCCAGCAGGGCUUUGAAAAUAAAUGUUGAGAUCACAUUUUACAACAGACUGGUACAAUCAAUCUAAUAAUCAAUGGUUAAUAAUUAGCAGAAUUAAGAGAUUUUAUGACAUAAGAGAUGUAGUAAAGAAAGAUUUACACUUUUUGAUUGACAAUAGAAAUGAAAAAUUUUAGAAAAAAAUAUAGUCAUGUAACUUAUGGUCCAAAUAUGAAUUAAACUAGAAGGUAACGUGACUUUAUUCAGUUAAUGUAGUAUUCAAAAAGUGAUUCCAAUUAGUCUUGGGUGUUGGACCAACUUCCUUCAAAGGAGUAAGUUUUAGAGAAAGUAGAUUUCAUAUCCCAUACAAAUUCAAUAAUAUCCCUGUUUAAAAGGUUAUAUUUACAUCACUGUAUUAUAAUAGAAAGUGUUUAUGACAUUUUAUUUUUCAGAGUCAACCAAAAACAGCAUGAAAUAAUUAUAGCUAUAUAAAGAAAGGUAAAUGUUAUAAAUGUUGACAUGGUAAAAGAAACAAUGUAGUUGUCAAACUGAGAGGAAGAGGGAAGGAAAUGUACAGAGAAAUAGUUGUACACGUUUUAGAAUUUCAUCUAAUGAGCAAAGAUAUAUUAUCUAAAUCUGGUGGAUCAAGAUUACAUUUGAACAUAGUAUUCAGAUUUAUAAGAGUGAAAAAAGUAAAUAAAAAACAAAGAUAAAUCUAAAAAAAAAAAAGAAGGGAAUGGGAAGGUAGAAAGACAAGAUUGUGUAAAUUACACACCUAUCUUCUCUCUCACAGCAGAAAGUAAAACAAUAGGGUUUAUGUUGAUAAAUAGAAUACAUAAAUGAUAAAUGUAUACAAACAUACUACUUACAAUUACAGAGGUGACCAUUAGAAGAAGUGAGAAUAGAAACUGUCAAAUCCAAGGAAUAGAAUAGGAGAUUAAGAGAGGCUUUUUCAGUAUUUUUUAAUGCUUAUAUCAAUUGCGGAACUUACAAAUGAAAACGGGGAAGACAAGUAUGAAUCUAAUCAUAGAUCCAUAAGUAACUAAAAUGAAUAAAUACUAUAUUGAUACUUUAAGUGAAUUUAGGUACUCUAUCCUUUAAGCAAUGAAAUCUAUUUUAUGCAUAGUGAACAGUCAUUUUUAAAAACCUAUAAUGUUAUUUUGUCAUUGAUAACUAAAUCACCAGCUAAUCACUAGCUACUGAAAGUUGCCAUAUAGGGUUAAAUGGAAAAUUGCAUACUUCUUUAGACUAGAAUUACAUUUGUGAAAAUACAGAACCAUGUUGGACAAAGGUCCACAGAAGUGUGCAUGGGAGAGUUAAACAGCAUUACUGAGAUGGCUACAGUCAGCAGGGGUGUUUGAUUCUGGGACAAAGCAAUUAUACAUGGAAUAAAUGUUUGCUGUAUCUUGGGAAAUACUUUCUAGGUAUGAGUCAGUCUAGAAGUUGCUUUCUCUCUGACAAAACUAGGUCAGUCUUUAUAACUCUGCUCCUAGCUUUGGAGCACAAAGAUGAAAUUGUUCUUUUGCGGUCAAAGGCAGUUGUGACAGGCAUAAUUUUAUCAAAUUUGGAACAGAAAAACAUUCCUCUUUAAAUUUCCAGAUGGGAUGAGAUUGUGGAGCAGAUAAUAGUGGGAAAAAAGUAUAUAAACAGAACUUCAGAAAUUCAGAUAAUGAAGAACCCAUAUAUAGCACCAGAUAUUCUUAUAACUAUAGGCAAAUAAAUUGAGAAAUCUCGGUAAAAAAUAAUUAACUUUGAAAAGGAAGUGAUUUCUGAUAAGGACAUUGUUUUGAGACAAAUACAUGCUUCAAAAUUUAGGAUUAGGAAACAAAAGAGAAAUAUAAACAUCAGCUGCAAAUAGAACUGUGAUGUGUCCUUUGAUCACAUUCAGAAUUCCCAAGUGAGGCCCAAAGAGUUAACAUAAGAAUCACAUUGCAAUUAGACCUGGAUAUUAAUUUUAGGCAUAAAUGGAAGUUUAUAAAUAUAUGCAUAUAUAUGUGUGUGUGAGAGAGUCUGCCUGUGUAUGUAUUCUGAUACUAAAUUAUAUCUUUUUCAUUGCUUAGUGUUGAUGCCGUCACUCUUAAGUGAUUUCUACAUACAUAUUUGAUUUUAUGAAAGUGAAUUUCAAGUUAGUGAAAUAUAUAUGCUUAUGGGUAUAGAGAGUAAGAAAAUAAUUUAAAUUGAUAUUUUAAGUGGAUUCUAUAUAUGAAGGUGUGCAGCAGCUUUUUUAUUAUUAUUAUACUUUAAGUUCUGGGAUACAUGUGCAGAACAUGAAGGUUUGUUACACAGGUAUUCACGUGCCAUGGUGGUUUGCUGCACUCAUCAACCCGUCAUCUACAUUAUGUAUUUCUCCUAAUGCUAUCCCUCCCCUAGCCCCCCACCCCCUGACAUGCCCCGGUGGAUGAUAUUCUCCUCUGUGUACAUGUGUUCUCGUUGUUCAACUCCCACUUAUCAGUGAGAACAUGCGGUGUUUGGUUUUCUGUUCCUGUGUUAGUUUGCUGAGAAUGAUGGUUUCCAGCUUCAUCCAUAUCCCUGCAAAGGACAUGAACUCAUCCUUUUUAUGGCUGCAGAGUAUUCCAUCGUGUAUACAUGCCACAUUUUCUUUAUCCAGUCUAUCAUUGUGAACAGUGCUGCAAUAAACAUACAUGUACAUGUGUUUUUAUAGUAGAAUGAUAUAUAAUCAUUUGGGUAUACACCCAGUAAUGGGAUUGCUGGGUCAAAUGGUAUUUCUGGUUCUAGAUCCUUGAGGAAUUGCCACACUGUCUUCCACAAUGGUUGAACUAAUUUACACUCCCACCAACAGUGUAAAAGCGUUCCUCUUUCUCCACAUUCUCUUCAGUAUCUGUUGUUUCCUGACUGUUUAAUGAUCGUCAUUCUAACUGAAGUGAGAUGGUAUCUUAUUGUGGUUUUGAUUUGCAUUUCUCUAAUGACCAGUGAUGAUGAGCUUUUUUUCAUGUUUCCUGUCUGCAUCAAUGUCUUCUUUUGAGAAGUGCAGCAGCUUUUUCAGAAUGGUGCCUGCGACAGGUAGAAUAAUAUCCUUUAAAGAUGUCAACAUUUAAUCCCCCAAACCUGAGAAUAUGUUACCUCAAAUAACAAAAGGAAUCUUGCACAUAAAAUUGAGGUGGCAUACCUUAAAAUAGGCAAAAUAUUCUGGGUUAUCCAGAUGGACCUAAUGAGGUCCAAUUCAGGCUUUUCCAAGUAGAAGAGGAAGACAGUAGCGUGGGGCAGAGCAUGUGAGAGAAGAGACAGGAAAGAUUCAAAGCAUGAGAGAGAUCCAGCCUUCUGGUGCUGGUUCCGAAGAUGGAGCAAAGGGCCAUGAGCUGAGAAGGGUGGGCAGCGUCUAAAAUUUGAGAGCAAACCUCAGCUGACAGUGAACAAGGAAACAGAGACUUCAGUCCUGUAGUUGCAAGGAACUGAAUUCUGCCAAAAAUGCAGAUAAGAAAACAAAAACAAAAAAACAGAUUCUCCCCUACAGCUACCAGAAAGUAACUUUACCUUGCCAGCACCUAAAUGUUAGCCCAGUAAUACCUGUGCUGGGAUUCUGAAAUACAGAACUAUAAGAUAAUGAAUUUGUGUUAUGUUAAGGUGUUUAAAAUUUGUGAUAAUUUCUUAUGACAUUAAUAGAAAACUAAUAAUCUCCAAACCAUUAAUUUACUAUAAUUAUAUUUCUUAUUAUUUGCUUACUCUAGGCUUAUUAUGUGAGCAGCACCAGCAAGGGACUUCCAUAUAAGUUGUACCUUUACAAAAUUCUGUGUUUUGAUGUUAUUAUGUCCAUUUUACAGAUAAGAAAACAAAUCUAGAGAGGAAAAGUAACUUUCUAAAAGCAACACAACUAGUGAACUCCAUGACUAGUACUCAAAAAUAGGGCUUGAAAUCAGAUUGUUUGAAAUCACUGUGACAUAUUUAUAUAUUUAUGUGCAUGUAUGCCCACACACACCUCCAUAUACCUACUGCAUCUCCAUAAAUGCAUUUUAAAAUGUCUAAGUAAAUAACAUAAUGCUUCAUGGAACAUGGAUCAGCUAUUUUAUUACCUAUUUGCAUAGAAAUUUACCUUGCAAUAAAUGUUUAAAGAAAUGCAAAUUUCCUUGCUUAUUCCUUUAAACAUAUUUGCCCUUAAAAAUUAGUAAACAUUUUUACUGAGCUUAGAAGAUUAAACAUUUACUAUAUAAAAUUUAAAGCUAUCUCAAAUUCAAAGUAAUUUUAGUAUGUAAAUAUGAUAGGUGCAUUUGAUUAUAUGUAACAUGACUCAAAAUUAAAUGAAGUUUGACAUUCAGUAAUAAACUGUGAAUAAAAGUAUUUAUGGAUCAAAAAGUCAUACAAAUAACAGAGGGAAUUAAACAAACUUCACAUGCACAUACACUCAGUUUGGAUCUUAAACAAAUGUUGCAUUAAUAUUUGUUACCUAAUUUUUUUAAGUUUAUAUUUGAUAUGGUUAGGCUUUGUGACCCCACCCAAAUCUUAUCUUGAAUUAUAAUCCCCGAAAUCUUCAGGAGUUGAGGAAGGAGCCUGUUGGGAGAUAACUGGAUCAUGGGGAUGGUUUCCCUCAUGCUGUUCUCAUGACAGUGAGUUAUCACAAGAUCUGAUGGUUUUAUAAGUGUUUGGCAAGUUCUUCCUUCACUACUUUUCUCUCUCCUGCCACCAUGUGAGAAGGUGUAAGCUUGCUUCCCCUUUGCCUUGUGCCGUGAUUGUGAGUUUCCUGAGGCCUCCUCACCGAAGUGGAACUAUGAGUCAAUUAAAACUCUUUAUUUUAUAAAUUACCCAGUCUUGGGCAGUAUUUUUAUAGCAGUGUGAGAAUGGACCAAUACAGUAUUCCUAUUAUACAGCAUCACUUCCAUCAUUCCCCACUUCCCCUCAAAGGAAACUAUGGUAUGACUUAUGCUAGCAGGACUGUCCAUGUAGUGAAGUCUUGAGAACCAGAUUGGAAGCAAACACUUACUUCUUGAUGUGGAGUGAAACAUCAUAGUGCAGGAGUGAACUGUGUCCUUCUGUGGGAACAGAGAUGACUUCCAAACAUGAGGACAUAGGUUAGGAAGAUGUAGUAAAUAAUUAUUUUUUUAAAAGGACAAGAUAAAUAAAUGCUAAUCAGUUUGAUAGGAAAGAGUGUGAAUGAGAUAUUGCAAUUUAGGUAGAGUAGUCAGAGAAUGCACCAGAAUGAUGAUGAAAUAGUCAUAUCAAGAACAAGGCUGUAAGUCUCAUAUGUAAAGAUAAAGAUAUGUAAUCAUCCUAAUGCAUAAAUGGAAAAUGUGGCUGGAAGUGAGUAAAAGAGUUAAGUAGGGAGGGUAACAAAAAGUUGAUGUUAGGGACGAAGUAGGCAAAGACCAGACAGUAGAAACUUGUGAACCAUGGUAAACAGUUUGGAUUUUAUUCUGAAUUUAAUAGGUAGUUAUCAGAAAAGUUUUUUGUUUGUUUGUGUUUUGACACAGAGUCUCUCUCUGUCACCCAGCCUGGAGUGCAGUGGAGCGAUCUCAGCUCACUGCAAACUCUGCCUCCUGGGUUCGAGGGAUUCUCCUGCCUCAGCCUCCCAAGUAGCUGAAAUUACAGGCACUUGCCACCAUGCCCAUCUAAUUUUUGUAUUUUCAGUAGAAACAGGGUUUCACCAUGUUAGCCAGGCUGGUCUCAAACUCCUGACCUUAAGUUAUCCACCCACCUUGGCCUCCCAAAGUACUGGGAUUACAAGCAUGAGCCUGGCUGGAAAUUUUUUUUUUAAUAUGUAUUUUAUUUACAUUAUCUGAUUAUAUUGGAAGAUAUAUCUGACAUUUUUAGAAGAUGCAAUAUGGAGAGUAGUAGAUCAUAAGGAGUCCAGAACAGAAGUGGAAGACCUUCCCUGCUAUUGCAGGGGUCAGGGCAGAUGAUGCUGGUUAGGUUAAAGGAUGAAGAUAGGACCUGCUAAUGGAUUACACAGUAGGUGUGAGAAAAAGAGGCAAAUUAGGAAUGACAUUUUUUUAGCCUUGACUAAUAAGCUGGAUAGUGCCAUUUGGUUAUUUGAAAUUUACUGUGUUUGGAAACAGACACUUAAAAGAUAUCCAUAGUACUGGCUUUAAAGCAAAAUUCCUACCUAAGGCAGAGUGAUGCACUGCAAAGGGAGAAUGUUAAUAAGUGCUACUGUCUCCACCUGCAGUAAGAAGAAAUCUGAGAUGGUCCCCAUGACUUCCAUCCACAGCACACACACCCUAUAUAAUUCCCUCCUCUUCAGUGUGGCUGAGACCAUUGAGUAUGAUGGGAUAUCACUUCCAUAAUAGGUUGCUAACCACUUAACUUUGAGGGUGGCCCUGACAUAACCAUGUGAGAUAUUCAGAACACAGUGAUAUGGUUUGGCUCUGGGUCCCCACCCAAAUCUCUUGAAUUGUAAUCCCCAUGUUGAGGGAAGGACCUGGUAGGAGGUAAUUGGAUCAUGCGGGCAGUUUUUCUCAUGCUGUUUUUCUGAUAGGGAGCAAGUUCUAAUGAGAUCUGAGUGACAUCAAGGAAGUGGUGACACUUCCUUGCUUACACUCUCUCCUGCAGCCAUGUGACACACGCCUUGCUCCCCGUUUGCCUUCCGCUAUGAUUGUUUCCUGAGGCCUUCCCAGCUAGGCAGGACUCUGAGUCCAUUAAACCUCCUUUCUUUAUAAACUAUCAUAUUUCAGGUAGUAUGAAUACUACAGCAGUGUGAGAAUGGGCUAAUACAGACGGUGAAGUAUCAUCGAGAUUCUUUCUGGCAGGCCUAAACCAAAUAGCCAUGUACUUUGUAAACUGUCUACACUGGAGGCCACAUGACUAUGACCUGGAGGAAGCAUCUAGAAGCCUCUGAGGGGACCGCUGGCCAAAACUCAUCAAGAAAAUAGGGAUCUUAGUCCUACAAACACAAGACACUGAAUUCUGCCAACCAUCUAAAUGAAAUCAGAUGAGAACUCUGAUCUCCAGAUGAGAAAAGAGCCUCAGCUGACCCUUUAAUUUCAAUUUUAUGAGGUCCUAGAAAGACAACCCAAUUAUGCUACCCCUGGACUUUCUGAUCUACAGAAGCCAUGAGAUAAUAAUUUUGUGUUAUUUUAAACUGUUACAUUUUCAGUAAUUCAUUAUAACAUCAAAAGAACACCAGUGUGUGUUUUGGUACUUAGAAGUGGAGUGGUGUUGAUACCAAAAUUUGGGAUCACUUAAAAUUUGGGAACAGCUUUUAAAUCGGGCAGUGAGUGACGGCUGCAAUAAUUUUGAGUAGCAUACUAAGAUAAAAUCUAAAUUGUCUUGAACAAACUGCUAAUAGAAAUUAGGAUUUUAAGGAUGAUGCUUACGAGAGCUAAAAGCAGAAUCUGCAACCCAAAGGAAAGGACGUCCUUCUCAUACAGUGGCAGAAGCCCUGGUGAAACUAUACGAUGUUGAUAGCAGAAUUUUGAAGUGAUGAACUUAGGUAGGGACAUUUCCAAUCAUAGUGUUAAGGGUGCUGCCUGGUUUCCUCUUGCUACUUAUAAUAAAAUCAUGAAGAGAGAGAGAAAUUGAGGGAAGAAAUGUUAAACAAAGAGGGACAAGGAAUAGAUGAUUUUGAAAUUUUCAAGCUUUCUGGAGGGUGAAAGAUUCUAAAAUUCUCAUAUGGCUGCCAGAAACUUGGCAUGGAGAAGAAGCUGUUGUGUCACUGUAUGACCUUUGCUAAAACAUCAAACAAAUCAAAGGUCAAAACAAUCAAUAACACAAAGGGUCUUUGCAAGGUACUAAGGAUAUCCCUCACAGAUCCUCUCAAACAAACAAGUGGCCCUUUAUGAGACUUUAGUGUAUUGUCCCUCAGUCAUCUCAGUGGAAGCCAAAGAUGGAGAAUAAAUUAUCUCAAAAAUCUUAUGGGAUAUGCCUUUGACUACUGAAGUGAAACCAGUGAAAUUCACACAAGAUCUACAAAGUUUUUGAGAACAUUGUUUUAGCAGAAAUAAUCUUGGCUUAGACUGAAAAUACUAAGAGAAGAUGAAGUUAAAGUAGGCUCUUGGAUCCCCAAAUUCUAACAACAGAAGGCUAAUGAAACUCUUCAGCAGCAAACACAUGCUGCUUCUUUAAUAAAGAAAGGAAGAAUGGAUCCAAGAGCCUAGAGGACGAAGUCAAAAGCUAUGGGUGAUUACUCCCAGUCCUUGAAACCUAAUAAAAAAUUCUAAAGCUGUUUUCCUGUGUGGAUUUCAGAACUAGUUUGGACUAAUCACUCUUUCUCGUCUUCCUUUGCCUGCUUUUUCUUUUUCUUUCUUUUUUUUUUUUUUGUUUUUCUUUUUGUUUUCUUUUUUAUUAUUUUAUAUAUAUUUAUUUAUUUAUUAUACUUUAAGUUCUAAGGUACAUGUGCACAGUUUUGCUAUUGUCACCCAGGCUGGAAUGCCGUGGCGUGAUCUCUGCUCACCGCAACCUCCGCCUCCCGGGUACAAGCGAUUCUCCAGCCUCAGCCUCCUGAGUAGCUGGGAUUCCAGGCACCUGCCACCAUGCCCGGCUAAUUUUUUGUAUUUUUAGUAGAGAUGGGGUUUCACUAUGUUGGCCAGGCUGGUCUCAAACUCCUGACCUCAGCUGAUCCACCCACCUCGGCCUCCCAAAGUGCUGGGAUUACAGGCAUGAGCCACUGUGCCCGGCCGCUUUGCCUGCUUUUCCAAGCUCAAAUGUGUUUAACUAUUAUACAAUGCCUACUCCUCUACUGUAUGUCAGGAGUGUUGGGGGGAGAUACCUUACGUCUUUAGGUUCACAUGUCCACAGGUAGGGAGGAAUUGUGCCCAAGAACUGUAUUUAAUGAAUUACACACAGUAGCCUCAUUCACACCUACUUUAGAUAAUGAGAAAUUUAGACUUUCAGCUGAUAAUAUAAUAGAAUGAGACUCUUUGUAAUGCUUGGAGAGGGUGAAUAACAUUUGCUUGUGUGAGGGAUAUGAAUUAUCAGGGUCCAGGAAGUAGACUGUGGCAGGCAGAAUACUAAGAUGACUCUUCCCUGCUAUGGUUGAACAAUUAUGCCCCUCACAAAUUUAUAUGUUGAAAACUUAAUUACUAAUUUGAUGAUAUUACAAGGUGGGUUUUGUUAGGGGUUUACUAGGUCAUGAGGGCAGGCCUCAUGAAUGGGAUUAGUACCAUCCCAACACUUCAGGAGGCCGAGGCGGGCGGAUCACGAGGUCAAGAGAUUGAGACCAUCCUGGCCAACAUGGUGAAACUCCAUCUCUACUAAAAAUACAAAAUUUAACUGGGUGUAGUGGCACACACCUGUAGUCCUAGCUAUUCGGGAAGCUGAGGCAGGAGAAUCACUUGAACCUGGGAGGUGGAGGUUGCAGUGAGCCGAGAUCAUGCCACUUCACUCCAGCCUCGCAAUAGAGUGAAACUCCAUCUCAAAAAAAAAAAAAAAAAAAAAAAAAGCCCAAAGAACUGCCUUGCCUGCUCCACCAUGUGCGGACACAGUGAAAAGGUGCCAUCUAUGAGAUAUCACGUCUGCUGGUGUCUUGAUCUUGGACUUCUCAGCCUUGAGAACUGCAAGAAAUAGAUUGCUGUUGUUUAUAAGUUACUCAAUUUAUGGUAUUUUCUUAUACCAACGUGAAUAAACUAGGACAGCCCCCAGUGUCUCCAUCCCUCAUGGACAAGGUCUGUAUGUCCUCUCCUGAGUGUGAGGAGCACCAGUGAAAAUGAAGAAAUAACACCCCAAUUUGUAUGUUAUAUAAUAUGCGAAAAGGGUUUUUUUUAGAGACAUAAGUAAGAUCCCUAAACAGUUGGCUUUGAGUUACUCAAAAGGGAGAUUAUCCUGAAUGGAUCUGAGCUCCAUUAAAAGAAUCAGGUGAGCUCCUGAAAAGAAGAUGAAGCAUCAUUGAGAUCCUUUUCUGCUAGCCCGAACAUAAACAAAUAGCCAUGUUAUUAACUGCCCAUGGAGGAGAUACAUAGCCAGGGCCUAGUGCCAGCCUCUACAAGUGGGAAGAAAUUCUUUGCUGACAGCCAGAAAGAAGACAGGAAUUUCAUUCCUACACCUAAAAAGAACUGGAUGCUGGGGAAGGGGCCAGUGGACUGGUGGAUUGGAAGAAUAUGCUGAGCUCCACUUGAACUCAGCCAUGGCUGGUACUUUGCUUUCAGUUUUGUGAGACCCUGAGCAGAGAACCCAGUUCCUAGUUAUCCCAAUUUUGGACUUCAGACCUAUAGAGAGUGUGAGAUGGUGAAUUUGUGUUGUUUUAAGCACUAAGUUCAUGCUCAUCUGUUACACAGCAAUUGAAAACUAAUACAACACCAAUGCACGUUUUGAAUGGGAAUUGCCAGUUCCCUGAGUGUCCACAUUGUGGGCUAUUGACCCACACUGGGCCAUCACUAGACUUGAUUGCUGAUGGCAAUCAUCAGGCUGCAUGGCAUCUUUUACUUAGAUUGAAAUUCAUGUGUCUUUUUUUUUUUUUCUGAGACAGAGUCUUGCUCUGUUGCCCAGGCUGGAGUGCAAUGGCACGAUCUUGGCUCACUGCAACCUCCGCCUCCUGAGUUCAAGCAAUUUUCCUGCCUCAGCCCCCUGAGUAGCUGGGAUUACCGGCGUGCACCACCACACCUGGCUAAUUUUUGGAUUUUUAUUAGAGAUAGGGUUUUGCCAUGUUGGCCAGGCUGGUCUUGAACUCCUGACCUCAGGAGUUCCACCCGCCUCGGUCUCCCAAAGUGCUGCGAUUACAGGUGUAAGCCACCACACACAGCUUGAAAUACAUGUGUCUUUUCUAUCUGGAUCAACCAUAUGAGCCUGAAGCUUCCUUUGGCCAUGUUUCCUGCUGGAUGAACAAAAUUCUCACAGAGGAAGAAUAAAUGGCAUCAGUGGCCACGGGGAAGCAUGAAUAAAUGAUCAUAGCGAGUAUGAAGGCCGAUGGUGUCUGGGUUGCUGUUCAAACUCCACGUUUCACCACAGAGAAAAUGUGAGUUUCCCUGAAUCAUAAGUUCUCAUGAAAGCUACCCUGAUAUAUAUCCAUUAAAUUCAAAUUGGGCCUCUGUUACUUGAAACCAAAAGUGCUCUCACUCAUACAACUCAAACUAAAUAUUAUAUAAAUUGUUUAUUAAUGACCAUGAAAACCUACACAGCAAGCAGUCUCAGUGUUUACCUUUUUAAAAAUUUCUUACAUUUAUUUAUUUGCCAGAUGUUCAAAACCUUCUUCUUCAGUAAGAAUUUAAUUCUUCAAUCUCCUCCUCUUUUAUACCUAAGUUGUUUUCUUCCCUGAAAAAUCUUCCUGUAUCAUUAAACUGUCUUUUACCUGCCCUUUUUUUCUUCUGUUUCUAGGGAAGAUUCCAGUGUUCUAGUGAAGACUGUUUUCAGACUAAUCACAUCGCCGUUAUCCAUUAGAAUAAAUGACUUCUAUUGCCUCUGGGGCCGCCAGUCUCAUUCACUCCUCUAUUUCACCCGUUUUCAAGCUUUCUCAUUCCACUCGCAUUUCCUUUCUGUCCCAGAAUAUCCUCAGAUCUUUUGUACGCCUUGCAUCAAUUCUUUAAAGCCACAUCUGUCUCUCUUCUCUUUAUUGCAGUCACUUCUAUCAAAUUAUCUUCUCUCGCUACUUAUUUUCUCAAUGCAUAUUCCUAUCUGUAUCAAUUAGAGUCCAGUCAGGCAACCAUAUCUAUCAAGUUAUUGGAAGGAGAGAAUUUGAUAUAAAAAAAUCUUACCCCAAUGUAUAAAAGUGUUACUAAAGGAUAAACAAAAAACUGAUGUAGCUUGGAAAUUAUUGCUGCGGGAAGCAACUGUCAUUCCUAGGGCUGAAGGAAGAUUCUGGAAAUAUUAAAUCUUAAAAACGUAGGAAGUUACUCAGAUCUCUGCAGAGACUAAAGUAAGACCCCUGAGGAAGGAACGCCAGUUCAGCUGGUACUGGUGUAUCUGAGUUUGGGAAGGGUCCUGAGGAAGGCAGCACUGUUUAGAUGGCUCCUGAGAGGCAGCUGCCAUGAAGCUGGUGGGGCACAUUUGGGAAAAACUGGUAAAUGGAUUCAGCUUCUGCCACAAAAUGAGUCACCUGCUGAAGGUGUGAGAAGACCCUAUUGGAGUGAGGCUCACAGGAAUUACAAGCCCAGGAGAAGCCCCCAGUGAGCAGACAGGAAGAAGCAAGCUCCCUUUCCUCUCCCAGCCACACAACCUCCUUUCAAGGCCCCGCGUGGGCAAAUUUGUGGUGUUCAGGAUCCCAGUUCUACCAUCACAAAGCCAAUCUAGAAGGCCGAGUUGGGUGCUGAACGACCAUAGCUUAAAUCUAUUGCAUUUUAGCUUUGGUGCUUAUACUUCUGUAACAAUACCUUUUUAAUUAUGUUUAUUAUUUUAAGAGAUCGCAUAAACUCACAUAGUCUAAAACCAGUGACAUCUUACCUGAAUUUUUUUCUUAUGUGACUACUGAUAUUGAAUGAGUCCAUAAUUGUCCUCUCUGAUACUUGACUCUUGGUUUUUCUAGUAUAUACCUAGGUAUUAGCUCUCUAGGUUCAUAAUUGAUUUACCAUUGUCUUUUACAACUUUAAUGUAUAAUAUAUACUUAUUCUUUCAACAAAUAUUAAUAUUAACAAACAUUAAUUCAAAGUCUAUCAUGGACUAGCCGCUGUGCUAUUUGACACAUAGAAAAUGAUCAAGAUUAAUAUAGUUCUGUCCUUGUGGGUUUUAUCUGAAAAAAAUAUAUCAAUCAUUUUUCAAUGAUUAUAUUCAAUGAGGACUGAAAAGCUAAAGCAUAGUGCCGGUUGAGAAAUGGUAGACACACACAUAUAAAUAUGCAUGUCUAUAUAGACAUAUUUCUACAUGUGUCUAUAUAGACAUAUAUAAGUAUGUGUAUAUUUACAAAUAGAUGUUUAUUUACAUAUAUUUCAGGACAGCCUUUGUGAAUGUGCAUAGGAGCAGGUUGUAACAAAAUUAUCUGACUUACAUUUGAGGAAUAG
rnacentral:lncRNA from 1 species